CUUCCGGCCAACCACCACAACAAAUCCAUAGCCAUCGCCUUCCUUCCAACCUUCAAGUUUCAUCGUAUUCAACACCGUAUUUCAGACCCGCAACCUACGUUAGCGCCGUUAACAACAACACAAAUGAGCUCCAAUAGCACCGGAGAUUCGUCGACUCAAUACUUCGUUUCGAAAGACGGCAUACUCAAUGCUCUUGGCUGCAUUCAUAUUGAAGGAGAAAUGGUUUUCCAUCCUGAAUCAAAAAGCAU
rnacentral:lncRNA from 1 species